AGAGUUUGAUCCUGGCUCAGAACGAACGCUGGCGGCAGGCCUAACACAUGCAAGUCGAGCGCGCCUUCGGGUGAGCGGCGGACGGGUGAGUAACGCGUGGGAAUAUGCCCUUUGGUACGGAAUAGUCCUGGGAAACUGGGGGUAAUACCGUAUGCGCCCUUCGGGGGAAAGAUUUAUCGCCAAAGGAUUAGCCCGCGUUGGAUUAGGUAGUUGGUGGGGUAAUGGCCUACCAAGCCGACGAUCCAUAGCUGGUUUGAGAGGAUGAUCAGCCACACUGGGACUGAGACACGGCCCAGACUCCUACGGGAGGCAGCAGUGGGGAAUCUUAGACAAUGGGGGCAACCCUGAUCUAGCCAUGCCGCGUGAGUGAUGAAGGCCCUAGGGUUGUAAAGCUCUUUCAGCUGGGAAGAUAAUGACGGUACCAGCAGAAGAAGCCCCGGCUAACUCCGUGCCAGCAGCCGCGGUAAUACGGAGGGGGCUAGCGUUGUUCGGAAUUACUGGGCGUAAAGCGCACGUAGGCGGACCGGAAAGUUGGGGGUGAAAUCCCGGGGCUCAACCCCGGAACUGCCUUCAAAACUAUCGGUCUGGAGUUCGAGAGAGGUGAGUGGAAUUCCGAGUGUAGAGGUGAAAUUCGUAGAUAUUCGGAGAACACCAGUGGCGAAGGCGGCUCACUGGCUCGAUACUGACGCUGAGGUGCG
rnacentral:rRNA from 1 species